rnacentral:misc_RNA from 1 species
GCUAGUCCCUCCUUGUUGGAGUAUCUCAGGCAUUUCAUCUUCUUUAACUGACUCAAAUGGUUUCUCAAACUUGGGCUGAGGCUGAGGCUGAGGUUGAGGUUGAAAGAAGUCUGGCCUUCCGACACCUUGGCCAGCAAAUAUACCAGAUGAGGAUCCGAUAGAUAGAAAUGAUGAUCGAGGUGGUUUGUUCUUCAACGAGAAAGGGAGCUGCAUUGGUGGUCUUCUAAACGCUAAAGGUGUAGCAGGGACGGUGGAAUCUGGAUUCAGCUCAACAUCACUAUGUAAUAGGUUUUUGUGAGAAGCUCUAUCGACAGUACUCUU